UUCACGGAGAGUUUGAUCCUGGCUCAGGACGAACGCUGGCGGCGUGCUUAACACAUGCAAGUCGAACGAUGAAGCCCUUCGGGGUGGAUUAGUGGCGAACGGGUGAGU
rnacentral:rRNA from 1 species